UCUCUGGUAGCUCAGAUGGUAAAGAAUCUGCCUGUAAUGCAGGAGACCUGGGUUCAAUCCCUGGCUUGUGAA
rnacentral:tRNA from 1 species